rnacentral:rRNA from 1 species
UCAAAUUUGAAAUCUGGCCCCCAGGGUCCGAGUUGUAAUUUGCAGAGGAUGCUUUUGGCGAGGCGCCGCCCGADUUCCCUGGAACGGGACGCCACAGAGGGUGAGAGCCCCGUCUGGCUGGCCGCCGAGCCUCUGUAAAGCUCCUUCGACGAGUCGAGUAGUUUGGGAAUGCUGCUCAAAAUGGGAGGUAUAUGUCUUCUAAAGCUAAAUAUUGGCCAGANACCGAUAGCGCACAAGUAGAGUGAUCGAAAGAUGAAAAGCACCUUGAAAAGAGGGUUAAAUAGUACGUGAAAUUGUUGAAAGGGAAGUGUUGUGACCAGACUUGGGCGCGGCGGAUCAUCCGGGGUUCUCCCCGGUGCACUUCGCCGCGUCCAGGCCAGCAUCAGUUCGUCGCGGGGGAAAAAGGUUCGGGAACGUGGUCCCCUGGGAGUCGUUAUAGCCCGUUGCACAAUACCCUGCCGGUGGACUGACGG